rnacentral:rRNA from 1 species
AAUGAACGCUGGCGGCAUGCCUAACACAUGCAAGUCGAACGAAGGCUUCGGCCUUAGUGGCGCACGGGUGCGUAACGCGUGGGAAUCAGCCCUCAGGUUCGGAAUAACAGCGAGAAAUUGCUGCUAAUACCGGAUGAUAUCGCGAGAUCAAAGAUUUAUCGCCUGAGGAUGAACCCGCGUAGGAUUAGCUAGUUGGUGUGGUAAAGGCGCACCAAGGCGACGAUCCUUAGCUGGUCUGAGAGGAUGAUCAGCCACACUGGGACUGAGACACGGCCCAGACUCCUACGGGAGGCAGCAGUGGGGAAUAUUGGACAAUGGGCGAAAGCCUGAUCCAGCAAUGCCGCGUGAGUGAUGAAGGCCUUAGGGUUGUAAAGCUCUUUUACCCGGGAUGAUAAUGACAGUACCGGGGGAAUAAGCUCCGGCUAACUCCGUGCCAGCAGCCGCCGCGG